UACGUAGGGUGCGAGCGUUGUCCGGAAUUACUGGGCGUAAAGAGCUCGUAGGUGGUUUGUCGCGUUGUUCGUGAAAACUCACAGCUCAACUGUGGGCGUGCGGGCGAUACGGGCAGACUGGAGUUCGGUAGGGGAGACUGGAAUUCCUGGUGUAGCGGUGAAAUGCGCAGAUAUCAGGAGGAACACCGGUGGCGAAGGCGGGUCCCUGGACAACUCCUGACACUGAGGCACGAAAGCUAGGGGAGCAAACAGG
rnacentral:rRNA from 1 species